GAUGAACGCUAGCGGGAGGCCUAACACAUGCAAGCCGAGCGGUAUUGUUUCUUCGGAAAUGAGAGAGCGGCGUACGGGUGCGGAACACGUGUGCAACCUGCCUUUAUCUGGGGGAUAGCCUUUCGAAAGGAAGAUUAAUACUCCAUAAUAUAUUGAUUGGCAUCAAUUAAUAUUGAAAGCUCCGGCGGAUAGAGAUGGGCACGCGCAAGAUUAGCUAGUUGGUGAGGUAACGGCUCACCAAGGCGAUGAUCUUUAGGGGGCCUGAGAGGGUGAUCCCCCACACUGGUACUGAGACACGGACCAGACUCCUACGGGAGGCAGCAGUGAGGAAUAUUGGUCAAUGGGUGCAAGCCUGAACCAGCCAUCCCGCGUGAAGGACGACUGCCCUAUGGGUUGUAAACUUCUUUUGUAUAGGGAUAAACCUACCCUCGUGAGGGUAGCUGAAGGUACUAUACGAAUAAGCACCGGCUAACUCCGUGCCAGCCGCCGCGGUAAGAC
rnacentral:rRNA from 1 species